UGGGGAAUAUUGCACAAUGGGCGCAAGCCUGAUGCAGCCAUGCCGCGUGUAUGAAGAAGGCCUUCGGGUUGUAAAGUACUUUCAGCGGGGAGGAAGGGAGUAAAGUUAAUACCUUUGCUCAUUGACGUUACCCGCAGAAGAAGCACCGGCUAACUCCGUGCCAGCAGCCGCGGUAAUACGGAGGGUGCAAGCGUUAAUCGGAAUUACUGGGCGUAAAGCGCACGCAGGCGGUUUGUUAAGUCAGAUGUGAAAUCCCCGGGCUCAACCUGGGAACUGCAUCUGAUACUGGCAAGCUUGAGUCUCGUAGAGGGGGGUAGAAUUCCAGGUGUAGCGGUGAAAUGCGUAGAGAUCUGGAGGAAUACCGGUGGCGAAGGCGGCC
rnacentral:rRNA from 1 species